GUAAGAGCGCGGCCGUGCGUGCUUGUUCUAUCUGGAAUGCCAGUUGCUCAGGCUGUCUGCAUGUUGAUGGCGGCCGGGAUUGAGGACAGGCGCGUGCUGGCUUUAUCUCGCCUGCGCAGGCUGAGGAGCCUUAUCAGGCCCGCCCGGCUGUGCAGCUGCGUCCUCAAGGGCUCCCGCUGCCUCCCGCUGCCUGCUUUGUAAUCAGAAGAGAAGUUGCUGCCUUGAUAUUUCCAUUUUUAUCUCUUUUAUUUACUUCAUUUUAAUGUGUCUUUCAGGGAAUAUUUUCUUUGCAACAAGGCAAGGCUGUCGGUAGCUUACAUCUUUCUGUGGCCCCUGCCCCUCGGCCAGGCUGAGGAAAAGGGGGUGAGGGGUGGCGGUCUGGGCUUCCCUUCUCCCCAGCACCUCCUUUGCCCACCUCAGCCUCUCCCCCUUGGUCCUGGCCUCGUCUGCUCUCUUCUCCUCUCUUCUCCUAUCUUCCAUCUCCUGCUUUCGUUCCCAUCUGCUUCCAGCCCUUCCUGGCUGCCAUUGAGGGGGUGCUCGCCAGUGAUUCUCCCCUCCGGAUCCAGAUCCAAGCCCCACAGCCUCUCUGGGCAGCCCCUGCUGCUCCCCAUGCAGUUCUCCUCGCUGGUUCCCCAGGAUCCCAGCCCCAGCACAGCCCCCUCUGAGGCCUCCACUCCAAAUGCCAGCUGGGUGCCCCGAUAGUGGGGCCCAGGCACUUGGGACCCGGGUGUGGGGCUGAGCCGGGCUCAGCCAACACAGCCCGCCCCAGUCGAGGAACGGGAUGGUUUUGAGUGCGUCCACCAUCUCUUCUGCUGCCGCCUGAUCCUGAGAGAGAUGCGGUUAUAUUCCUCUCAGAGGAGGAAACUGAGGUUCCAAGGGGGUUCUCGGUCACAGCCACCUUGCUCCUGCCACAGCUUGUGACGGAAAGCAGAACGCAGGAUGGACGUGGCGCGUGACCUGCUCAGCCUCGCUGACCAAGUGCCUGGCCCAUCUGCCGCCUUGCCGUGCCGCCCCUCCUGUGAGGCAGGGGUCAGAACACGCUCAUGCAACAAUUCCGCGAGACUGCGGCCGGCAAAGCAGGCUCCCAUCUGCAGGCUGUGAGAGCCCCAACGUCCACUGUCACAGCCCCCAGAGUGUUGGUGCUUUGAUCCUCAGCCAGAGAACACACACGGACCCCUGCCUGGCUGCGGCCCCUCUUGGGCAGAUGGCAGGACCCAAUCCACUCCGAGUCUGCAGCCAUGAGCCUGGAAUUUCCCCCAGCGCAGGAAUGAGGUGGAGCGCCAGCAGCUCAGGGGUGCCGGGAGCCGAGCACAGGAGCCUCCCGGGGUGCUGAGCCCAGGAAACCCGCAGCAGCCGGGCAGCGUGGUGCUCCCCAAGCCCACUCGGCCCCCACAUCUCCGGGCCGUGCUGUCAGCACUCCUCCUCCCGGAGGUGACAGGCUGUGGCUUCAGAUCUCAGCAGCCUGGAUCCCCGAGUCACCCCGGGGAGGACUUGCCCGACUCACACGGAAGCCGUGGCUGUGUCGAGUGGGGGGUCUUGCCCCCCAACAGCAAUCCCAGCCCGCCUGACCCACACAUCCUCUCCCCAGUGAUCCAGGCAAAUGGCGUAUGGAGCCCACCCCUGGGGGAUGGGCAGGCCCAGUUCUCCAUCUUCACAAACAGUGAGUGCUGACCAGAGGCCACACCAGGGCGGAAGCUGGACGGAGGCAGCUGAGGUGACUUUAAAAACUGGACUCUGAGUAUCUGUGGGGGCUGCAUUUGGUCAGGAUUUGUUAUUUUCCAGAAUUCUCUCUGAAGAACAGGAGGUGCUGGAAGCUGGCAGGGCACCCUGUGGCUCCUGUCGUUAGAAGGAGAAAGGUCCAGGCUGGAAAGGGCCCCUCCCCACUCCCUGUAGGUGCUGAGGGUCUUGGUUGGGUCCUCUGUUCCCCACAAGGAAGCAGUGGGCGUGGGGUCACCUCCGACAUUGCACUGGGGCUGCGGCACCACUGGGCCACGCAGGAGGCACAGCGUGGGGCACUCAAGGCCGCUAGAGUGAGUCGGGUCUGGAAGAGGAGGGGGCACAGACAGAGGUGGGGGCAGCGGAGGAAGCCGCGGGCGUGGGAGAGGCCCCAGCCCAGGGACCGAGGUGCGUGUGGGUGCAGGGGACAUUUGCGGACCGGGCCAUCUGGAGGGACGGUGGACACGUGGCAGCGAGAGAAGACAGCGCGGUCUGCCUGGCGUCCGCUUUCUAGGUUGAUGCUGGGUGAGGUGUGCUGCUCAGAUCGUUCCUAGAAGCACAGAACACCCAGAUGUUCCUUCAGGGUCUGUCUCACCCUCAGAGUCACCUUUCCCACAGCCCUGUCCUUCCCGGAAAGAUGGAGUCUAGUGACCGAGGAAGGCCGGACCCUGCAGGCCUCCCCACAGUGCCAGCCGAAUGGGCCCCUUGUGUGCCAGAUCUUCCCGCGGGUCACACGGCCCCGUGGGGCCUGCACCACAUGUCAGCCCUACCCGCUUCCCUUCACACGCGCUGGUCCUAAGCACCUUCACACCCAUAUGCAUCCGGUCCCAACUCUGCUUCCAGAGACAUCUGAAGCUGUGGCACCGUUUGACGAGAAACCCAAACCUCUCGCAACAGUGGGAUUCCUUCCCCAUCCCCACACCUCACGCUCCUGUCCUCACGUUCUAUGACUCAGACCCCACGAAGCUCAUGGUGCUGGACACGCACGCGUGCAGAUUUGCCGUUUAAAAGAGAUGACGAGGAGAGGACGGGCGCCUCGCUCACCUGCACGGUCACAUGUGGGCUGUUGCCACCCUGCCCUUCCGCGAGUUCCUUACCUUGUGCAGAUCACGCAGCUUUAGCACGUUUUGUCAUGAGGCUCUUAGGACGGCAAAUUUUCUCAGUUUCAUUUACUUCAAAGCACUUUUAUUUCACCUUCACCUUCACUCCAAGGAUUUCUUGCUGGAUUUGGAGUGGUGGGGCGGCUCCUUGCUUUCAUUCCUCUACCCUCCGCCCUCCGCCCUCCGCCCUCUGCCCUCCGCCCUCUGCCCUCUGGUUUUUGAUGAGGAGGCACCAGCAUUCGGCACCUCUGGCCGCCCUUUUCUCCGGCUUCUUCCAAAUUUUCUUCAGUUUUCAGCAGUUUGACUGUGCUGUGCCUACAUGCUCAGUCGAUACUCCCACCUUCACCUUGGCCUCUCAAGUAGCUGGGACCAUAGGCACAUGCGCCACCACCACCACCAUCGCCACCAGGCCACC